GAACAGACUCCCCGGGGAAACCUGUUACAGCCAGAACAGACCGUGGGAUAGAAGCUGAUGGUUGGCAGCCAGAAACACUGAUGAGGAAAAAUGGGUAUACAGGGGGCUCUGACUCCAUGAUUUAAUAAUGAGGUGUGAGAAGACAUAAUCACUGUAACCUACGCCAUUUAAGGAGCAGAGACCAAUCUGAAGGGCAGCGAAGGGAAAGGGAGCCGGACAACUCAAUGUUGCGUGCCAGAA
rnacentral:lncRNA from 1 species